AGCGAACGCUGGCGGCAGGCCUAACACAUGCAAGUCGAACGAAGUCUUCGGACUUAGUGGCGGACGGGUGAGUAACACGUGGGAACGUACCUUUUGGUUCGGAACAACUCAGGGAAACUUGAGCUAAUACCGAAUGAGCCCUUAGGGGGAAAGAUUUAUCGCCAUUAGAGCGGCCCGCGUUGGAUUAGAUAGUUGGUGUGGUAAAGGCGCACCAAGUCUACGAUCCAUAGCUGGUCUGAGAGGAUGAUCAGCCACACUGGGACUGAGACACGGCCCAGACUCCUACGGGAGGCAGCAGUGGGGAAUCUUGCGCAAUGGGCGAAAGCCUGACGCAGCCAUGCCGCGUGAAUGAUGAAGGUCUUAGGAUUGUAAAAUUCUUUUACCAGGGACGAUAAUGACGGUACCUGGAGAAAAAGCACCGGCUAACUUCGUGCCAGCCGCCGCUGUAAGAC
rnacentral:rRNA from 1 species